GGCAGCAGAGACUCUGCUCUCGUAGUUUGGAGUAAUUCUGAUAUAAUAACUGUUGGUUUAUUUAUCGGUGCAGCAGCACAACAUUUUCCACAGACAGUUUUCCUGCCCGUUGGCUUGUUUUAACCAGUUUUCUACCUUCGGCUGAUUCUACCAGCAGACACUGAAAGGACUCUGAUAGUUCGGUCCCUCUCUAUCUCCCCACACAUCCACCAACCACUGGAACACAUCUCCAAAGUUCUGCCAGGCCAGCUCAGCUUCCCUUCAGAAGAAGUUCCACCAGAUGAAGGAGCCUUUUUAGAGGCAGCUGGCAUCGUGAUUGGACUGUACUUUGGUCUGUUCCAAUCCAGCUUCAGCUCCAGAGACGGCAGGCGGGACAAGUCAACGGAGGCCUGGUGGAUGAAGGCAUGCAGCUGAGUACAAUCCAGAAAACAACAGAGGAGGAGUGCAGCGGCCAGAACACACAGAGUAGUAUCCUAUCCUAUGUCUCUUAGAAAACAUCAUAGUAUAGCCUUUGGUAUGAAAAAACGCCAUCAUAUACAUCAUAUAUUGUACAAAUAACAAGUCAAAGGAAAGAGACAUACAUUGUAGAAUUGUAGUAAUUGUGGGCUGACUGAUUUACUGAUUAUCAGUAUUUUAUUUUUUACUGAUUUACGGUAAUAAAUACAUUUAAAAAUGGC